rnacentral:rRNA from 1 species
UACGAAGGGGGCUAGCGUUGCUCGGAAUCACUGGGCGUAAAGCGCACGUAGGCGGAUUGUUAAGUCAGGGGUGAAAUCCUGGAGCUCAACUCCAGAACUGCCUUUGAUACUGGCGAUCUUGAGUUCGGGAGAGGUGAGUGGAACUGCGAGUGUAGAGGUGAAAUUCGUAGAUAUUCGCAAGAACACCAGUGGCGAAGGCGGCUCACUGGCCCGGUACUGACGCUGAGGCACGAAAGCGUGGGGAGCAAACAGG